GCUCGGGUAUCUCAGUGGUCAGAGGCUUUGGACCCAUGAAGUCCAAAAAGUCGGUGGUUCGAAUCCAUCUCCGAGCG
rnacentral:tRNA from 1 species